rfam:Chlorocebus sabaeus isolate 1994-021 chromosome 1, whole genome shotgun sequence.
GUAAAGAUGACAGAACCUGGCAAUUGCAUAAAACUUAAAACUUUAUAAUCAGAGGUUCAACUCCUCUUCUUAACA